rnacentral:rRNA from 1 species
GGACGAAAGUCUGACGGAGCAACGCCGCGUGAGUGAAGAAGGUUUUCGGAUCGUAAAGCUCUGUUGUCAGGGAAGAACAAGUACGGAAGUAACUGUCCGUACCUUGACGGUACCUGGCCAGAAAGCCACGGCUAACUACGUGCCAGCAGCCGCGGUAAUACGUAGGUGGCAAGCGUUGUCCGGAAUUAUUGGGCGUAAAGCGCGCGCAGGCGGCUUCUUAAGUCUGAUGUGAAAGCCCACGGCUCAACCGUGGAGGGUCAUUGGAAACUGGGAGGCUUGAGUGCAGAAGAGGAGAGCGGAAUUCCACGUGUAGCGGUGAAAUGCGUAGAGAUGUGGAGGAACACCAGUGGCGAAGGCGGCUCUCUGGUCUGUAACUGACGCUGAGGCGCGAAAGCGUGGGGAGCGAACAGGAUUAGAUACCCUGGUAGUCCACGCCGUAAACGAUGAGUGCUAAGUGUUGGAGGGUUUCCGCCCUUCAGUGCUGCAGCUAACGCAUUAAGCACUCCGCCUGGGGA